rnacentral:rRNA from 1 species
CCUACGGGUGGCAGCAGUAGGGAAUAUUGCUCAAUGGGGGAAACCCUGAAGCAGCAACGCCGCGUGGAGGAUGAAGGUUUUCGGUUUGUAAACUUCUAUCGUCAGAGAAGAUAAUGACGGUACCUAACGAAUAAGCACCGGCUAACUCCGUGCCAGCAGCCGCGGUAAUACGGAGGGUGCAAGCGUUACGCGGAGUCACUGGGGGUAAAGAGAGCGUAGGCGGGAUAGCAAGUCUGAUGUGAAAUCCCAUGGCUUAACCAUAGAACUGCUUUUGAAACUGUUAAUCUAGAGUAUGGGAGAGGUAAGUGGAAUUCUUGGUGUAGGGGUAAAAUCCGUAGAGAUCAAGAGGAAUACUGAUGGCGAAGGCGACCUACUGGAACGUAACUGACGCUGAUGCGCGAAAGCGUGGGGAGCAAACAGGAUUAGAUACCCGGGUAGUC